rnacentral:rRNA from 1 species
GACGAACGCUGGCGGCGUGCUUAACACAUGCAAGUCGAGCGGUAAGGCCCUUCGGGGUACACGCGCGGCGAACGGGUGAGUAACACGGGAGUAAUCUGCCCAUCACUUCGGGAUAACUCCGGGAAACCGGGGCUAAUACCCAAUAUGACCACUUCAGGCAUCUGAUGGUGGUGGAAAGUUCCGGCGGUGAUGGAUGAGCUCGCGGCCUAUCAGCUUGUUGGGGGGGUAGUGGCCUACCAAGACUUCGACGGAUAGCCGGCCUGAGAGGGUGAACGGCCACACUGGUACUGAGACACGGCCCAGACUCCUACGGGAGGCAGCAGUGGGGAAUAUUGGACAAUGGGCGAAAGCCUGAUCCAGCAACGCCGCGUGAGGGAUGACGGCCUUCGGGUUGUAAACCUCUUUCAGCAGGGACGAAGCGCAAGUGACGGUACCUGCAGAAGAAGCACCGGCCAACUACGUG